AUGAUUAUUUCAGCCACAGUCAUCAUCAUCGUCGUCCUCGUCAUCGCCCCUCUUUUUGGUCCAAAAAUGACGUUGCCUCUGCACACCAAGCAACAUGACCAUGAUACCCCAUUACAUGUGUACACACAUCCAGCCAUCAAGCUCAGGAGCUGCUCAUGCCUGGAGUCGAUCGACCAAACCCCCCGGUGCGGACGGCACGUCAGACAAACAACGUACGGUUCCCAGCCAACGCCACACCCGAACCCAGGGCAAUGGAACGGCGGUCGCUGGCAGCACCGCAGCGGUGUAGAACUGACGCGUCAACCGGACGAUUGGCCAGCGAUCCGGCAACGAGAGCUCGCCUGA
rnacentral:rRNA from 1 species